CUAUGCUGCACGGACACUUCUAGAAGGUGAAGAGUCCCCGUAUCCGAUACCUGGACACUCGGAUACUCCCGGACACUUCUCGGACACCCGUGUCGGGCCGUGUCGUAAUUUCGCUAAAAGUAGGACACCCGUAUCGGGCAGUGUCCACAAUUUUAAAAAAGUUGGGACACUUCUCUUACGUUGUAAAGGAGAGCUCUAAUAAAAAAAAUGCGCAUUUUCUUUUCUCUGUAAUACACAUUUCAUCUGUUUUCUUUGUGAGUCCACCAAAAACUCCAAAAGUCUAGCAUGCGACGGCGAUCAAGAACACGAGCAACAAGGGCGAGUGGUUCUCUUAUGCGAUGACGACUUAUACAUAUUUUUUACAAUUUAUAAAUGUACCCCUAUAUUUUUAUUAUUUAUACAUAUACCCCUAUAUUUUUUAUAUUUACGCGUAUCCCCCACGUGUCCGUAUCCUAGUUUUUUGGAAAUGCCGUAUCACCGUGUCCGUAUCCGCGUAUCG
rnacentral:lncRNA from 1 species